AUGUUAUGAUAGGAUGAACUUUAUAGAUUUAAAUUUGAUAAAUCAAAACAUUUAUAAAAUGAGUAAAGGAGAUUAAAAGUUAUUUUGUAAUACAUUUUUAUUUAGUACUGUAAAGGAAAGCCAAUUAAUUAAGAAAAAGAAAAAAUUAAAAUUUGUACCUUUUGCAUCAUGGCUUAGCUAGAUUAAAUUUUUAAGAAAAUAUCUCGAAAUCUAAUGAGCUAUUUUUAGUCAAUCUAUUAGGAUAAGUGACUAAUUGUAGCAAAAAUUUUUUCAGAACUAAAAAUAGAAAUGAAAUUUUAUUCGUAUUAGAUGAUAGCUAGUUCUUCUUUAAAGGCAUAUAAGUGCUUUAAGCUAUUUUUAUUUCAUAAAUUUUGUAUGAUUAUAAAUAUAAUAGUUUAAUUAGGUUAUCGAGGAUAAGCUCGAAAACAUAAACAAAAUAUUCUAUACUAAAAUUAAAUUUAAGCUUGAAAAUAGCUAUUAUUUUCUGAUUUUGUUAUAAUUCCAUUUUAGUUUUAUGUAUAUAAUAAAUUUAUUUUACUUUAAAAGAAGAAAACCUUAAAACAUAAAUAAGGAUAAAAUUAUGCUAAGAUGAGUAUUCAUAAUUUAUUGACUUUAGAAAUACAAGAUAAAAAUCUUAAAAACAAAUUUUUAUAUAAAAUUAUAAAAAGGAACUCGGCAAAUAUUCAUUCUGCCUGUUUAUCAAAAACAUGGCUCCUUGUAUCAUAAAAAUAGGGAGUCGGACCUGCCCAGUGAAAUUUUUCAACGGCCGCGGUACCCUGACCGUGCAAAGGUAGCAUAAUCAUUUGCCUUAUAAUUGAAGGCUUGUAUGAAUGGUUUGACAAGAAUGAAGCUGUCUCUUUAUAACUAAUUUGAAUUUUAUUUAUAGGUGAAGAAGCCUAUAUUAUAUUGAAAGACAAGAAGACCCUAUCGAGCUUUAAAAAAAUUAAUAAAUUAAAAACUAAUAUUAAAAAUAUAAAUUUCAUUAUUAAGUCAUUUUAGUUGGGGCGACUGAGGAACAAACAAAGCUUCCUGUAAAAAUAUUAAUACAUUCAAGUACUGAUCCAAAAGUUUUGAUUAAAGAAACUAGUUACCGUAGGGAUAACAGCAUUAUCUUUUUUGAGAGUUCUUAUCGAAAAAAAGGUUUGUGACCUCGAUGUUGGACCAGAAUAUCCUAAAGAUGCAGCUGUCUUUAAGGGUUGGUCUGUUCGACCAUUAAAAUUCUACGUGAUCUGAGUUCAGACCGGCGUGAGCCAGGUCAGUUUCUAUCUUCAAUUUUUAUAGUGAGCUUAGUACGAAAGGACCAGUUUACUGUAAAGUAUUUACUUUGUUUGAUAAAAUAUAAAAUGUUAUUAAAUUAGUAACAAAGCAUAGUCAAAAA
rnacentral:rRNA from 1 species